rnacentral:misc_RNA from 1 species
GUCCACCCCAUCCACCGCCGCAAUAGCCUCAAUAUUGUCAACUCCGGUCUCUGUCUCGACCAUGCAGAGGAUGAGGAGCUCCUCCUCGCAGCGGUGGACAUAGGUGUCGUCGGUGCCGUAGCCGGAGGCUCGCACCAUGACAUGAGCGGUGCCACGAAUGCCACGAGGUGGAUAGCGGCAGUAGGAGACUACCUGCUCGGCGAUUUUGGCAUUCUCCACCAUGGGGAACAUGAUGCCCUGUGGGCCGAGGUCGAGGGCCUUCUUUGCCCAGGCGGCAGACUUCUCCGGGACACGGAUGAUGGCGGGGGUGCCAGCGGCAGCGAGGGCACGAAU